rnacentral:lncRNA from 1 species
AACAUCUAAUUUUAUGUUACUCUCAGUAUAUUAGAAAUAGUCGAACCGUAAACCAAUUAAGAAUGAUGUAAGGAAGGCAUAAAGAUGUAUUUCCAGUUAUCACAAAUAUAGAAUCAAUUGACAACAACUUAAUUAUGUCCAGCGUAGGACAACAUAGAAGAGUUUUCAUACCUUCUAAUAUUAUAAUAUCUCACUAUAUUAUUGGUUAAAUCAGUUUUCUCUAGCACAAAUACUCACUCUAUUUUUAGAGUUUAAGCUUUUCUAUCUGAUAAUAUUAGUAGUUUGAUCCAAAAAAAAAGAAACGAUUGAACUGUACAUUAUAAUUGGAGAAAAAAAACAAACAAAAAUCAACCGAAGACUUUUAAGGUAUAUGAAACAAAAAUUGAAAAUAUCAAUUCUCUGCAAUUAAAUAGUAAUGCAAUAAAAUUGUAAAAAUACAAAAUAAAGCAAAAAAAUACACAGAAAGAAAGAUUUAGUAAAAUAAAAUCAUUAUAUAAUUUCCAUAAUUGAUAGUGCUCAGCUACACUAAACUGUCUAAAUUUACAACAUACACAGUUUUAUUUACAUCUUGAAACCUAUUAUCUAAUUAAAAUGAUUCUAAAAAAAGUGACAGCACGAAGAGUUAAAAAAUAUACUAUAAAAUAUAAUACAUAACGUUAAAAAUAUAUUACCACUAAUCACUAAGAAAUCAUGUUAGUAGUAACAAAAAUGAAAUGACAACACAUUUAUUAAAACCAUAGAACGAC